AUUCUGAGACAUGACCUUACGAAUGGCCAAAUGUGCUAAACAUCUGUGUUCCUUUUGUCUUCAGGUGUCUGUCCCUUUAAACAGCAGUUGGUCUGUGAUCCCCACCCACACAGCCACUUCCUGGUUUGGGGGAAAGUCCCAAACAGAGCAAAGAGCUGAUGGUGAAAUGGCGUCUGUACAGGAAUUGGAGAACCUGAGAAAUGAAGCCACUUGUUCAAUCUGUCUGGAGUUUUACACAGAUCCCGUGAUUAUAGACUGUGGCCACAACUUCUGCAGAGACUGUAUUUUACAGUGUUGGGGCACAGGGCAAGAAAGUGUGUCCUGUCCACAGUGCAGGCAGCAGAUUCCCCAGAGGGGUGUUCGGCCCAACAGAACUCUGUCUAACAUUGUAGAGAGUGUUCAGAGACUGAGCCUGAAUCCGAGGCUGGAAGAGGUGGGAAUCCAGUGUGAAGAGCAUCAGGAGAAGCUGAAACUGUUUUGUGAAACGGAUCAAAGAGCGAUCUGUGUGGUCUGUGCGAUGUCCCGUGAUCACAAGGAUCACACAGUCAUUCCCAUUAAGGAAGCUGCUGAGCUCCACAAGCAAAAGCUGCAGAAAGCCCUCGAAACCCUUCAAAAACAGUUGGAUGAAAUGUCUCAGUGUCAGAGAGAAGAAGGAGCAGCUCAACUGGAAGUGAAGAGACAAGCCGAGCGUCUGAGGAAGAACAUCGACGCUGAAUUUGCUAAACGUCACCAGCUGCUGACUGAGGAGCAGAGAGACCUGAUUACCAAACUCAGACAGCAGGAGGAGGCCAUCUUAGUGCAAAUAGAACACAAUAAGAGUGACAUUUCCAAGCAAAUUACUUCUAUUAACCAGAGAAUAGCAGAAAUCCAGACAAGACUGACUCUCCAGAACACCGAAUUCCUGAAGGAUAUCAAAUCCAUCAUUGCCAGGUCUGGUGUUGACAUCAAGAAACCCACAAAAGUGUCUGUUGAUGUGGCUGAGAGGGACCUCAUUGGGUCUCUGCAGAGCAGAGAGUGGAAACUCCUGUUAAAGGGCAUCACUGCAGCUCCAGCCUCUCUGACUCUGGAUCCUAACACAGCCCAUCCCCGGCUCAUCCUGUCUGAGGACCGGACCCGAGUGAGACUCGGUGACAGAGAUCUGCAGCUUCCUGACACCCCGGAGAGGUUCAGUUUCUGGCCCAGUGUCCUGGGGUCUGAGGGGUUCACAUCAGGGAGACAUUACUGGGAGGUGGAGGUGGGGAACAGCACAUACUGGACAGUGGGGGUGGCCCGAGAGUCUGUGACCAGGAAGGAGUAUUUCACACAUGGACCUGAGGGUGGAGUCUGGGCUGUGAGGCUGUAUAAUGGGGAAUAUAAAGCUCUAUCCUCACCUCAUACCCCCCUCCCCCUGAGGGUGAGCCCCCGGGUGCUGGGCGUGUACCUGGACUAUGCGGGAGGACAGGUGUCGCUGUACGACGCGGAGCACAUGUCUCAUCUCUUCACUUUCACCCACACGUUCACUGGGAAACUCUUCCCGUACUUCAGCACAUGGUGUCACACUGACCUGACACUGAACCCCCGACACUGACCGCGGGGCCUAUCAGAGCGCGACAGAUCACAUUGACAUCUCGGCGGACCAAUGGGACGAUCCAAUUGAGGGGGCGGGUGUUCAGAAAGGACCAAUGGGGAGCGAGUGGGCGGGAGGGGAGUGACGGUUGGAGGAGGAGAAGCGCGGACAUGGCGGCGGCGGCGGCAGUGAGGGGUUGAGCAGUCGGGGAGGGAGCGGCCCCGAGAGGCGGGACAACUCGGCGCUGAUGGCGGAUCGGGUCAAGCGUUUGGCCAUGGAUAUAGGUGGUGAAUUGGAUAUGGAGGGAGUGGCUGUGAGAGGAGAGAAGUGACGAUAAGUCAAUGGAGACGGAGCAGGAGGUGGUGAAGUGCAGGUUGCGGUUGUCGAGGACAAGGAGCCAUUCCGGGAAGAGGCAGAGGGAAGAUAGAAAUGUGCAGAUGUCCGAGCAAAAUGUGGGGGAGUGUUUAGAGGGAACAGUAAAUAAAGAGGGCUUUGUGGGAAUACUUGGAGAGACGGUGGAGGUUAAGGUACUCAAGAGAGGUGAAGGUUUCGGAGGAGUGAGCGGAUAAGCCGAGUGUG